UGGUUCCGACAUCGAUGAAGAACGCAGCGAAACGCGAUAUGUAAUGUGAAUUGCAGAAUUCCGUGAAUCAUCGAAUCUUUGAACGCACAUUGCGCCCUCUGGUAUUCCGGAGGGCAUGCCUGUUCGAGCGUCAUUACACCUCUCAAGCUUGGCUUGUUGUUGGGAUUGUCUUUAAAGCAGACUCUCCUCAAAUUUAAUAUAGUGUUCGUAACGGUGCUUCUGUAUAUGGGAAACUUUAUACCUAAAGGUCCGGCCUACACUAGAACCCUUCAUUUAAAGACCUCGAAUCAGGUAGGGAUACCCGCUGA
rnacentral:misc_RNA from 1 species